UACUCUUCAAUCCCUAAGUUUUUUCAUUACUUUAGGAGACUAAGGGAGUGACUGUUAUUUUUUAUCCAAAAAUACAUUUUCCUUGGAUCCUUCAGUAAUGCCAUUGUUAGGUCUUAUGCACAACAACUGGAUAUUUCCAUAUCCCUUUCGAGAGGGUACCUGUCUAAUUAAGAGCACUUCAAGACCUAGAACACAGAUAAUGUGCUUUACAGAGAGGCCAAUUAAAUGAUUGUUUUUGUUGUUGCAUUACAAACACAAUCAGAAAUAAAAUGAGGAUUUAAGCUCAUAUGCAAAAGGAAGUUCUGUUGUUUUUAACAUUCUUCUGAAGUAUGAUGCCCUCUGACCAAUAUAAGGUAACAUUUCACACAAAGCAGUAUAUUUAAGUAUUCAACUCAACAUAGUCACCCUUGGGAGAAAGAAAAGCCCUGUUAGUACCCAAUAAGUGAGAAAUAUUACAUUAUUGCAUAUGCUAUAUAUUAUUUAUGCAUACAUACCCAUAAUGCCUCAUUUUGAAAGUUGUAUUCUAUCCAAAGACAAAAGUAAGUUGGGUUGUGAUCUAAGAUACAUAAGAAAAAGAUGAGUAUGAAAUAAACAAGCCACUCUACAAAUAUUUGUCUAUAAUUCUUCAGGAUGUUAGUGAAAGACUGCAUUUCAGUAAAAUAUUCUGUGGUUUCAUCAGUUACUUAAGUAUUUGUUCAUCAUUAGCCCUCUAGCUAUUUUUAAUAAGGUCUUUUUUGUCAAAAAAUAUAAAUAAUGUGGGUCAUUGCCUCCAAAUAAAUAAUCACUAUGUAUUGUAGUAAGAACAAAUAUUAUGUUUGUAUAUUUGAAUGAUUGAUCUCUCUCUCUCUCUCUCUCUCUCUCUCUCUCUCUCUCUCUCUCUCUCUCUGGCUGUGCCUACAGCAUGUGAAAGUUCCCAGGCCAGGAAGCAAACCUGUGUCACAGCAGCAACCCAAGCCACAGCAGUGACCAUGCCAAAUCCUUAACCCGUGAAGCAGUGAUGGAAUUGUGAAUCACCUCUCUUCUCUAGAAAAAAUUUUAUGUCUUUGUUUUGUAUGUCUUUAUACAUUCUUUACCUCCUGCCUUCACUAAUUAAUGCAGAAAGUUCAGGCUUCACAGGGACUCUUGAGCCUCCUUAUAUUGUAAGUAACUUCUAAAUCCCACAAGGAUGGCUCCUUCCACACUCACAUAUCUUUCUACUGGUGCAUCUUCUACUGGUGUAAGAAUAAGUGCCUACUCAAAGGCUUUUAACAGCAGCCUUUGGUCCAUGCUUUGUCUUAGUCAAAGUAGAAAAAGGAAUAGAUGUGCAGGCAGAUUCAGAGAGCUCUCUGUUCCCCCACUCUGCUCUGUUGCCUCUCCCCUCUAUUUCUAUACAUCUAUGUCUCUCUCUUCUUUUAGGGGACUGCAGAUCUGUUAACAAUGAGUGGAAGGAUUAAAGACAUUGAUUUUUGGCUCUCUACAUGUACCUGAUUCACAAACUUUUCAUGUUUACAAAGAAAAGGCAGAUUCUCAUAACCAAACACAGCAGAAAUUAUAUCGCUCCAAUACAACCCUGUUGUUGAAUUAGUCAACCCUUAUGGUCUUUCUAGAAGGGUAGCUCCUCAUAUACAUUUUCUAGUGGCAAAGAAACUCACCUGUUGAUUUGGCAGAUGAAAAGGAUGACAGCUAUUGUAAAUAAUACAGAAAGCCUAUAUGCUGGAUCAACAUACACAGUAAUCAAAACUCCUCGUUUGAGCAACAUGCCAGAACUCAUCAUCCAAAUUAUUAUAUUUGUUUUUAUCUCUUUCUAAGUAGGCAGCUUGGAAUGUAUCUUUACUGUUCUCAUGGGCAAUGUUGCCUUUGCUCAGAAUGUGUUAGGAACUUCCCUUUCAGAACUGGCUUCAUGGCCUGGUACACAUGGUUUGAACAGCCUCUGGGGUAGCAAAUCAUUUCAUGGAAGCACUGUUCUUAUUCCAUUUCAUUUUUUAAGAUGUAAACAUUGUUUGGAGCCAGUUGAAAUAGGUGUUCAAGGUGGGUGAUAUAUUUAGGUUUGCUCAAAUACCAGGUAGAGAGACCGUGAGAUAAUGGGAGUAUUUGCCUAGUGUACCUCAUAAACUGAUUCUGAAGCUAUAACGAAUAUAAAAAUUAUUAUGGAAACAGCAGCAUCAUAGCAACCAAAACAAAUACUCUCAGUGCAACCUCUUCAAAAGGCAACACUCCUCCUCUUCAACAGUUUAAGUACUGUUGUAUCUUUUGUGAGAGACAACUUUUUUAUGAUUCAUAUAUUCAUUCUCUUUUAAAAAUAUUUAAAGAGGUUUUCUGAGGAUAUUUUUUCUGUUCAAGUUGUAUGGAAUUUUUAAGAUCUGUUUUCAAGGAGUUCCCACUGUGACGUUAAGGAUCCAACGUUGCUACAGCUGUGGCGUAGGUCUUGGCUGCGGCUCAGAUUUGAUCCCUAGGUCCCUGGCUUGGGAACUUCCAUAUGCUGCGGGGGCAGAUGAAAAAAGAAGAAGGAAAAGAAAAGAUCUGCCUUCAAAAUAUGUUUGGGCACUAUUCAAGGAAGGUAAAUGUUUUCUGGGAGGACAGCUAGGAUGUGAUCAUUGAAGUUUUAUUUACUGCAGAGUAGGUUGCCUUGGCUGCAUAGAACAUGCAAAUAUUUGUACAAUGUUCCCUUUCCUGAGGCAGAGAGGUGGAGUGAAAUUAACAGGAGAUGCUACAAACUUGGAAUGAAAGGGUGUCAACUCUAGCUCUGGCUAAUCUUUUGAUUAAGUGACUUAAAUAUCAGUUUGUUUUUCCAUCAAUGAUGCUUAUCAGCCUCUGAGGAUUUGGGGAAUUAAGUGAAGUGACUUUUGAAAGCCCUACAGAAUCAAGUUGGAGCAGAAGACAGAUCCCUAGAGCUCUGAAUGGGGAAAUCCAAAAAUACUAUUGUGAACCAGUAAUUAGAGUUUAGCUCCCUUUUAGCCUCUGACCCACUCUCUUCACUUUCAGCCUUUGGGAAAAUGCUGAAAUGCUGGAUAAGCACAAGGAUCACUGAAGCACAGGACUCAAACGCUCACAACCGAAAACCUGAAACAUCAAGAGUUUCUGGAAUUGUUAUUAUAAUCAGCAAUCACAGUAAACAUUGCCACAAGAGACACCAGCUAGUACUGGAAGACAGACAGUAUAAAUGUGACACCGUAUAUAGCUUAUCUACAUAUGUUUAUUUUUUAACUAUAUAUUUUUUUUAAAAAUCUGGAAGUAUACAGAUUGAUCUAUAUUUUAGAUAGGUAGAUGGAUGGAUAGAUAGAUACAUAUCAUGAGGAAAAGAGGCUGUGAUGUGGAAUUAUUUUUCCUUUUUUUUUUUUUGCUUAUUUGUAUUUUCUAAUUUUUCUAAGAGGAACACACAGGAAUACGAAUAACUUCAAUUCUCAUAAAAAAUAAAAUACUCAGUGUAAGAGGCAUUCCUGUGCAGAAGUGACACCAGAGCAUAGGUCUGUUACCUCUAUCUACUCGCCCCAUAAUGGGCUGCACAAAACUGCCAGGCUCGUGUGUCCUGGGGAUUAUGCUCUGGAUCAUCUUGCUUAUUUAGCAAAAUUUUCAAAUCAGUCAAUUGUCCAUAUAAAAGUUGAUUAAAGGGCUCAUUCAUUAUACUGAAUUUAAGGUUGCUUAUUCCUGUGCAACUGGAAUAACAAUGCAAAUAAAAUACAGAGCCUGCAUUGCUCUCAUCAUUCACAUCUAUCCAAGCUAAUUAAAAAUAGAUUUUUUUUCUCCAAUUGUUUUGUACUCAGAAAAAUUAAGGUUCUUGUUUGUUCUCUUUGUACCACCAAGAAAUAGCAUGUACCUGAAGAUUGCCAACCUUAAAAUAUGGUGCAUUUAAGUCUUAGAAACUGGAACUACAUUUAGUUUCUCAUUUUUUCCAUCUUUAUUUCAUUGUUCAAUGCCAAAAUGUUCUUUGGAGAGUACACAGAAUAAAAGACCACAUCCAUUUCCAACAACUUACAGAAGAGUGUGAAUCUCAAUGAGCUUUGCAAAGGGCACAGUGGAAGAGAAAUACUUUUGAGUGAAUUACUAUGAAAAAAAAAUGCAGUAUGUGAGAACUUCUGUUUGACAGUUUUUGACUGAAAAAUUAUAAGGUAUCCAUGUUAUUUCUCAAAGUAGUCAUUUUCUUCAAAUUAGACACUGGUUCAAAUACUCUUUUUAAAUGGCAUUGCUUGGAGGUAAGCUUUUUCUGGGGGGAAAAAAGCCCCACUAAAGUAUAGUCUGGCAUUAUCACUGGCCUAAUGGUCCAUUAGCUUUACACACCAUAAUUUAAUAAAAAGGAUUUUAGAAAACUUUCAAAGCAAUGUGAGUGAGGAGGUGGGAGGGUGGGUGGGAGAUGAGAAGGAUAAAUGAGGCAUGCUGCCGUGGUAUUAUUUUAGCAGAUUUUCCAAAAGAAAUUAUUUGAGCUCAUUCUUAGCUUUCAAGGCAUCAUUUGGAAAAUAUAUGCUGCCUUUGAAUGAAAUGCAGAAUUUUAGAUUAAUAUAUGUCCUUCUGUUGGAGUGAAAUAAAAAAAUCUUGGUUUCUAUAAAUAUUACCUAUCUAUGAAACUGGCAUUUUUCAGGCCACUAAAUCUAAGAGGUCUUACCCAAGGUCACUGUGGAGGCAGGAUUUUAGCCCCAUGACCUUUCAUCCCUGAAUAUCGACUAUGUUAGUUGUGUCAUUACAUACAGCAUAUGUAAUUAAGGUGCCUAAUCAGUUGACCAAACUAGGGAAAUUAUCCUGGAGUAUUCAAUGAGCCUAAGCUAAUCAUGAGAUCUUGAAGGCAGAAUUCUGGAGUUCCUGUCAUCGCACAGCAGAAACGAAUGUGACUAGUAUCCAUGAGGUUGCGGGCUCGAUCCCUGGUCUCACUCAGUGGGUUAAGGAUCUGGCAUUGCCGUAAACUGUGAUGCAGGUCAAAGAUGCAGCCCAAAUCUAGAGUGGCUGUGGCGUAGGCCAGCAGCUGUAGCUCCAAUACAACCCCUAACCUGGGAACAUCCAUAUG
rnacentral:lncRNA from 1 species